GCCUCUUUAGCUCAGUGGCAGAGCACUGGUCUUGUAAACCAGGGGUCGGGAGUUCAAUCCUCCCAGGAGGCU